UACGGGGGGGGCAAGCGUUGUUCGGAAUUACUGGGCGUAAAGGGCUCGUAGGCGGCCAACUAAGUCAGACGUGAAAUCCCCAGGCUCAACCUGGGAACUGCGUCUGAUACUGGAUGGCUUGAAUUCGGGAGAGGGAUGCAGAAUUCCAGGUGUAGCGGUGAAAUGCGUAGAUAUCUGGAGGAAUACCGGUGGCGAAGGCGGCAUCCUGGACCGACAUUGACGCUGAUGAGCGAAAAGCUAGGGGAGCAAACGGGG
rnacentral:rRNA from 1 species